rnacentral:rRNA from 1 species
CCUAAGGUAGCGAAAUUCCUUGUCGGGUAAGUUCCGACCUGCACGAAUGGCGUAACGAUGGGGGCGCUGUCUCUACCCGAGACUCAGUGAAAUUGAAAUCGCCGUGAAGAUGCGGUGUAUCCGCGGCUAGACGGAAAGACCCCGUGAACCUUUACUAUAGCUUCACAGUGAACUUUGAGCAUGUUUGUGUAGGAUAGCUGGGAGGCUUUGAAACCAGGACGCCAGUUCUGGUGGAGCCAACCUUGAAAUACCAGCCUGACCUGUUUGAGGUUCUAACUUCGACCCCUUAUCGGGGUUAAGGACACUGUGUGGUGGGUAGUUUGACUGGGGCGGUCUCCUCCCAAAGCGUAACGGAGGAGCACAAAGGUGGGCUAAGCAUGGUCGGACAUCAUGCGGUUAGUGUAAUGGCACAAGCCCGCUUAACUGCGAGACAGACACGUCGAGCAGGUACGAAAGUAGGUCAUAGUGAUCCGGUGGUUCUGUAUGGAAGGGCCAUCGCUCAACGGAUAAAAGGUACUCCGGGGAUAACAGGCUGAUACCGCCCAAGAGUUCACAUCGACGGCGGUGUUUGGCACCUCGAUGUCGGCUCAUCACAUCCUGGGGCUGAAGCCGGUCCCAAGGGUAUGGCUGUUCGCCAUUUAAAGUGGUACGCGAGCUGGGUUUAGAACGUCGUGAGACAGUUCGGUCCCUAUCUGCCGUGGACGUUGGAGAUUUGAGGAAAGCUGCUCCUAGUACGAGAGGACCGGAGUGGACGAACCGCUGGUGUUCGGGUUGUGUCGCCAGACGCAUUGCCCGGUAGCUAUGUUCGGAUAGGAUAACCGCUGAAAGCAUCUAAGCGGGAAGCCCCUUCCAAGAUGAGAUCUCCCUGGACCCUUGAGGUCCCUGAAGAGCCGUUCAAGACCAGGACGUUGAUAGGUCGGGUGUGUAAGCGCUGCGAGGCGUUGAGCUAACCGAUACUAAUUGCUCGUGAGGCUUGACUAU